GCCCUUCCUGUUUGUAGAACAUAAAGACGGAAUUACUACAUUACCCCUUCCAAUCCUGGUGCCCAUCCUCAUCCAGCAGGACUAUCCCAGCCAAGCAGGAAGAAAACCCAGCAGCCCAAACUGGAUGCCAGACACUUACAGACAGUAUCCAGGCAAGCCAUGCAACAACGGACAGGUUUAUGUCAAACCCUAGCAGCAGAAUGUAGUCUAAGGCUAACAAGGGUCUUAAUUUGCAGACCACGUUGGCCUUGAACUUACGACGCUAUUGCCUCCACCUCUGUGCGUGCUGUAAUCCCCACAUGUGAGCUCCAUACCCAAUAGCUAUGCAGAAGGAAUUACCUUGAAUCAAUUUUCAUGGAAAUAUUUUUGAUGUAUAAAUGCUAAUGUAUAAUGUAGAAAUGAUGUAUAACUACUUAUAAAUGAUAUUGGAAGCGCCUUUGGAUUUUAUUUCAAUGUGAAUCAUUUUCAACCUAAAUUCUAAAACUGAUACCCAUUAUUAAAAGACGGCUCUAAAACA